GACGAACGCUGGCGGCGUGCCUAAUACAUGCAAGUCGAGCGAAGUUUUUCUGGUGCUUGCACUAGAAAAACUUAGCGGCGAACGGGUGAGUAACACGUAAAGAACCUGCCUCAUAGACUGGGACAACUAUUGGAAACGAUAGCUAAUACCGGAUAACAGCAUUAACUGCAUGGUUGAUGUUUAAAAGUUGGUUUUGCUAACACUAUGAGAUGGCUUUGCGGUGCAUUAGCUAGUUGGUGGGGUAAAGGCCUACCAAGGCGACGAUGCAUAGCCGACCUGAGAGGGUGAUCGGCCACACUGGGACUGAGACACGGCCCAGACUCCUACGGGAGGCAGCAGUAGGGAAUCUUCCGCAAUGGGCGAAAGCCUGACGGAGCAACGCCGCGUGAGUGAAGAAGGAUUUCGGUUCGUAAAGCUCUGUUGUUAGGGAAGAAUGAUUGUGUAGUAACUAUACACAGUAGAGACGGUACCUAACCAGAAAGCCACGGCUAACUACGUGCCAGCAGCCGCGGUAAUACGUAGGUGGCAAGCGUUGUCCGGAAUUAUUGGGCGUAAAGCGCGCGCAGGCGGUUUAAUAAGUCUGAUGUGAAAGCCCACGGCUCAACCGUGGAGGGUCAUUGGAAACUGUUAAACUUGAGUGCAGGAGAGAAAAGUGGAAUUCCUAGUGUAGCGGUGAAAUGCGUAGAGAUUAGGAGGAACACCAGUGGCGAAGGCGGCUUUUUGGCCUGUAACUGACACUGAGGCGCGAAAGCGUGGGGAGCAAACAGG
rnacentral:rRNA from 1 species